GUUUUUGCCCAUUUAUGAAAAUGGAAAAGGCAGCUGAAAGUGGACAAAAAGUAAAGGCUGUUACUUUUUUGCUGUUUUUUGCCUCUUUCAUAAAUUGAAAAAUCGGCUAAAAAUGGACGAAAAGUAAAGAGUAUUAUUAUUAUUAUUAAUUUAUUCAAAUGCAUGACCUGUUUACACGUAUUGCUGGGAUGGUAAUAAGUAUAUAGGAGCUACGAUUAUGGUAUAUGUAGCUAAUGCUAAUAAUGUACGUAUACUAAUAGUUAUAUAUAAGUUGAACUAUUUUACAAGGUAUAAUAAAAUAAGUGUAAUCGAAUAAGAAUAAAUAUAAUAGUGUUUUGCAGGAUGCAUUCUAGAG